AGAAGUGGAUGCAGAGGCUGGGCAUAAGGCGGCAUUUCCCAGAGGAAGCAGUGGUUCCAUGCCAGCCUCUGCUGCAGGAAGAGAGGCGAUGCCAGGCACAGGCACAGGAGAUGAGGUGUCUGGGAAGGCUUCUCCAUCAGUUUGGAUGAAUAAAGUUUUGAAGCCCUUGGAGCCUCCUGCAGGCGUGUCUGCCGGGACGACCUCACCAACUCCUACCUUGGAUGCUGCACAAAAGGCCAGCUCCCAUGGCAGGGGUAAUCCAACAGGGAAAAUCCAAGAUACAACAGAUAAGAUAUCCCUGGAACCAUCCAAACAGAUGAGGCAAGAGCUGAAGGAACCCCUGCAGACAAGUGAAGAAAUGAGCAGAGAGCCUGUGCAGAAGGAAGCAUUUCCCGGAGGAAGCAGUGGUUGCAUGCCAGCCUCAGCUCCAGGAAGGGAGGCCAUGCCAGGCACAGGCACAGGAG